AGCGAACGCUGGCGGCAGGCCUAACACAUGCAAGUCGAACGAACCUUUCGGGGUUAGUGGCGGACGGGUGAGUAACACGUGGGAACGUGCCUUUAGGUUCGGAAUAACUCAGGGAAACUUGUGCUAAUACCGAAUGUGCCCUUCGGGGGAAAGAUUAAUCGCCUUUAGAGCGGCCCGCGUCUGAUUAGCUAGUUGGUUGAGGUAAUGGCUCACCAAGGCGACGAUCAGUAGCUGGUCUGAGAGGAUGAUCAGCCACAUUGGGACUGAGACACGGCCCAAACUCCUACGGGAGGGAGCAGAGGGGAAUCUUGCGCAAUGGGCGAAAGCCUGACGCAGCCAUGCCGCGUGAAUGAUGAAGGUCUUAGGAUUGUAAAAUUCUUUCACCGGGGACGAUAAUGACGGUACCCGGUGAAGAAGCCCCGGCUAACUUCGUG
rnacentral:rRNA from 1 species